AUCCCAACCGUGUGUAUGGAGAGCUUCUCUCAACCGUCGGAUACACCUCUCCUAGCCUAUAAAAGGAAGGCUCAGCUCUCCCAAAUUUCAACAGAAAGAAAGGAAAAGGAGGGAGAGAAAUAAAGGAAAGGAAGAGAGAGAAGAGAGAAAGAAAAGAGAGUGAGAGAGAGUGGAGGCGUGAGCACAUCCGUCCGGCCAGGGCGGCAGUGUGUAAUCUUGAGGAGAGAUCAUACUGAGCUGGCCACUCAUUUAUCAAUGUUCAACUGUACAGAUGAGACCGGUACAGGUGUUGAAGAGCGCAGAGUGGACCUGGAACCUAUUACCGCUGAGGAGUACUACAACGAGGAGUCCCAAUAGGAGGCGGCUGCCUACCUUGGCUUAAACCAAUACUUUAGUUAUCAUGGUUACUUUUUGGACAAUUACAUUUCUUUAUUUUUUUGGAAUUUUGUAUAUGGCCCCAGCUGAGUGGCCUUGAAUAUUCAUUUGACUUGGGAUAUAUCUAAGCUACGCUUGUUUUCACAAA